rnacentral:rRNA from 1 species
GAGUAAAGAUUUCGGUCGCUUUGGGAGGAGCUCGCUUACUAUCAGCUUGUUGGUAGGGUAAUGGCCUACCAAGGCUAUGACGGUUAGGGGGUGUGAGAGCAUGACCCCCAGCAUUGGCACUGAAACACUGGCCAAACACCUACGGGUGGCUGCAGUCGAGAAUCUUCCACAAUGGGGGAAACCCUGAUGGAGCGAUGCUGCGUGCGGGAUGAAGGCCUUCGGGUUGUAAACCGCUUUUGUAGGGGACGAAAUUUUUGACGGUACCCUUUCGAAUAAGAGGUUGCUAACUCUGUGCCAGCAGCAGCGGUAAUACAGAGACCUCAAGCGUUAUCCGGAUUUACUGGGCGUAAAGCGUCUGUAGGGGGUUUAUUAAGUUCCAAGUAAAAUUUCAAGGCUCAACUUUGAAUUCGCUUGGAAAACUAAUAAACUGGAGUCUAGCAGAGGUGCAUGGAACUUGUGGUGUAGGAGUGAAAUCCGUUGAUAUCACAAGGAACACCAAAGGCGAAGGCAUUGCACUGGGCUAGCACUGACCCUGAGAGACGAAAGCGUGGGGAGCAAAACGGAUUAGAUACCCGUGUAGUCCACGCCCUAAACGAUGAAUGCUAAAUGUUCGAGGAUUCGACCCCCUGGGUGUUACAGCUAACGCGUUAAGCAUUCCGCCUGGGAAGUACGGCCGCAAGGCUAAAACUCAAAGGAAUAGACGGGGAUCCGCACAAGCGGUGGAGCGUCUGGUUUAAUUCGACAGUAAGCGUGGUACCUCACCAGGGUUUGACAUCCCUUGACAGCCUUGGAAACAAGGUUUCCUUCGGGCAAGGUGACAGGUGCUGCAUGGUCGUCGUCAGUUCGUGCCGUGAGGUGUUCCGUUAAGUCGGGAAACGAACGAAACCCCUAUUGCAUGUUACAAUUUCUCAUGCAAGACUGCCCGGAUAUACUGGGAGGAAGGUGGGGAUGACGUCAGAUCUGCAUGGUCCUUAUACCCUGGGCGACACAGGCGCUACAAUGGCAGAGACAAAGGGUUGCAAAACCGCAAGGUGAAGCUAAUCCCAAAAACUUUGUCUAAGUUCGGAUUGAAGGCUGCAAUUCGCCUUCAUGAAGCUGGAAUCGCUAGUAAUCGUGAAUCAGCCACGUCACGGUGAAUAUGUUCCCGGAUCUUGUACUCACCGCCCGUCACACCAAGAGAGUUGGUAGCUCCCGAAG